rnacentral:rRNA from 1 species
GAUGAACGCUGGCGGCGUGCCUAAUACAUGCAAGUCGAGCGAACGGACGAUAAGCUUGCUUCUCUGAUGUUAGCGGCGGACGGGUGAGUAACACGUGGAUACCCUACCUAUAAGACUGGGAUAACUUCGGGAAACCGGAGCUAAUACCGGAGAAUAUUUUGAACCGCAUGGUGCAAAAGUGAAAGACGGUCUUGCUGUCACUUAUAGAUGGAUCCGCGCUGCAUUAGCUAGUUGGUAAGGUAACGGCUUACCAAGGCAACGAUGCAUAGCCGACCUGAGAGGGUGAUAGGCCACACUGGAACUGAGACACGGUCCAGAGUCCUACGGGAGGCAGCAGUAGGGAAUCGUACGCAAAGGGCGGAAGCCUGACGGAGCAACGCCGCGUGAGUGAUGACGGUCUUCGGAUCGUAAAACUCUGUUAUUAGGGAAGAACAUAUGUGUAAGUAACUGUGCACAUAGUGACGGUAACUAAUAAGAAAGCAACGGCUAACUACGUG